rnacentral:rRNA from 1 species
CCUACGGGGGGCUGCAGUCGAGAAUCUUCGGCAAUGGGCGCAAGCCUGACCGAGCGACGCCGCGUGCGGGAUGAAGGCCCUCGGGUUGUAAACCGCUGUCGAGGGGGACGAAAUUUCAGUGGGUACUCCCAUUGAAUUGACCGAUCCCUGGAGGAAGGGUGGGCUAAGUUCGUGCCAGCAGCCGCGGUAAGCCGAACCACCCAAACGUUAUGCGGAAUUACGGGGGUAGGCGGCUUUGAAGGCUGCGUGUGAAAUCCCACAGCUCAACUGUGGAACUGCGCUUAAAACUACAAGGCUAGAGGAAUAUAGAGGUGAGCAGAACAGAUGGUGGAGCGGUGAAAUGCGUUGAUAUCAUCUGGAAUACCGGAGGCGAAGGCGGCUCACUGGGUAUUUUCUGACGCUGAGGUACGAAAGCUAGGGGAGCGAACGGGAUUAGAUACCCCAGUAGUC